rnacentral:rRNA from 1 species
GAUGAACGCUAGCUACAGGCUUAACACAUGCAAGUCGCGGGGCAGCAUGGGGGUUGCUUGCAAUCCCCGAUGGCGACCGGCGCACGGGUGAGUAACGCGUAUCCAACCUGCCCUUCACCACGGGAUAACCCGGCGAAAGUCGGACUAAUACCGUAUGUUGUCCAUUGACGGCAUCCGAUUUGGACGAAAGGUUUGGCGGUGAAGGAUGGGGAUGCGUCCGAUUAGCUGGACGGCGGGGUGACGGCCCACCGUGGCGACGAUCGGUAGGGGUUCUGAGAGGAAGGUCCCCCACACUGGAACUGAGACACGGACCAGACUCCUACGGGAGGCAGCAGUGAGGAAUAUUGGUCAAUGGGCGUAAGCCUGAACCAGCCAAGUAGCGUGCAGGAUGACGGCCCUAUGGGUUGUAAACUGCUUUUAUGCGGGGAUAAAGUGGCCCACGUGUGGGUUUUUGCAGGUACCGCAUGAAUAAGGACCGGCUAAUUCCGUG